UGAAGCUUAUUUUGAUGGCCGUUCCAUAUGACACGUUCUAACUUGUACCAAUCUGAUCCUUAUGCAUUUGUAGGAGUUGGUAUUACAGUUAUGUAAAGAGCCCUGAAAAUAGAAAAGCACCAAUUAAACUAGAAAUAAGAAAAUGAAGAGGGCAAUGAAAUAAAUUGUCUCUUCAUUAGUUUGACAGAUGCAUCGGUGAAACUGUAGGACAUGAGUCUGUUGCACAUCUUUGUGAAUGCCAUCUUUACGUUAGGUGGAGUCAAAUUGAUGAGGAAAUCAUGGUGAAGUUGGUGAUUAUAGUUUUGAUCAUCCAGCAGACCAUGUCUGGGGUCUCUCCUGCCUGUGGUCGAGCUGAAUAUCUUACAGGCCAGGAAUGCUGCCCUAUGUGUGGUCCUGGUCAUUAUGUACGGAGACACUGCACUGAGUCCAAAAGUACAACAUGUGUUCCAUGUCCGUCAUCUACCUACACUGAUGCACCCAAUGGACUGCAGUCCUGUAAAUCCUGCACAGUUUGUGACUCGAGUGAAGGUCUAAGAGUGAAGAGGGCGUGCAGCUCCACUUCAGACACACUCUGUGAGCCUCUGGAAGGUCACUACUGUACUGACCCAAUCAAAGAUGGCUGCCGAGGAGCUGUGGAACACACAAAGUGCUCAUCAGGGCAGUACGUCAACCAGACAGGUACAGCAUCCACAAAUACUGUGUGUGGUGACUGUGUAGGCGACUCAUACUCAGAUGGAUCAUUCACAUCCUGCAGACCACACACACGGUGUGAGUUGAUUGGGCUUGUUGUCCUAAGAGAAGGAUCAUCUUCUUAUGACACUGAUUGUGGUCAAAGACAAAGACAAAACACUGUUGCCAUUGUAGCUGGUGUUGCAGUCCUAGCUGCUACAUGUGGGGCUGUUGUAUUUAUAUAUCAUAGAAGGAAGAGAGAAAAUAAAAGCUUAACAAGAAGGGUGUGAUGAGACUGGUCUGAAUGGCUCAUGGCCAUAUUAAUAAUGGUGACGGUGCUUAUAGAACAGACUGAACCAGACAGGACUGCCAAAUGACCUGUUCUCCUUCUGGACCAACUGACCACAGUGCCACCUCUCUAUUACUGCUGUGCUACACCACCUCACUACUGCAGAGACUGCUGCCCUGAGAUGCCAGAGUGGGGACCUGCAUACCAUGAUAAGAACACCACUUGCUGGAUGAGGAUGUUAUAACUCGAUCAUGUCUUAUCAAAACACAUAUUGUUUGUGGUAUUUCAGCACCUGACUUUCCUCAUGAAGAAGAUUAUGCUCUUUCUGAAGGAGCCACACUGGACUACUGGAGGAUGGGGAGGCCAGGACACACAAGACUUUGCCGUCCCAAGUCCAUGUUCCUGAGUUUUGGGAAGAAAAGCAAGGAAGAAUCAGACCUUUUGGUGGUCCAGGAAAAUCAGUCCCUGCUGUCUUUUUUUAAAGGCUGCAAUUCAGUUUCGGUUUUACGAAAGGAUGUUAUUUGAACUGUUACACAAGACUUUUCAGUAAAGCAAGUGUUAUGUAUGGACAUGUACAAAGAAGGAAGAAGGAAAUGGACAAAAACACAAACAAACAGCGGAAUGAAUGGAGAGAAACCCUGAUCAUUUAUCAAUCUAUUUUCCUCAAGGCCACACUGUGAACAUCAGUAAUUAUUAUCACGCUCUAUCUGGGGACCCGUUCCUUACAUCUUUACUCUGAAAGUAUCUGCAGCACUUCAGCACUUUGUAUUUUUAGCACUUUAUUGUUGAACAAUUAGCUCUUGACAGAUGAGAAUUCAUCAAAUAAACGACUAAACAAACUGGAUGUUUAAGGGGAAGAUGGUAAAAGGAUCUUGAGUAUUCUGUAGCCAGAGACUCCUGCACUCCAUGUGUGUAGCCAUCAUCCUCUGAGCAGCCAGGUAUGUUCAUACCCUCUGAAUGAUUGAAUGUUUCCUGUGAGGAAAUGGACCAGCGAGUCAAAACUGGAGCUACAGGCCUGCUUUGACUGCACUGACUGGAGUGUUUUUGAGGCUGCAUCUACAUCCCUAGAUGAACUCACUGACACUGUGACAUCCUACAUCAGUUUUUGUGAAAGCAUGUGUGUACCCACCAAAACGUUCUGCACCUUUAACAACAAUAAACCGUGGUUCACGGCAAAGCUCAGGCAGCUUCGUCAAGCCAAGGAGGAGGCCUACAGGAGUGGGGACAGGAUACUAUACAACAAGGCCAGAAAAGAGUAGCAAAGAGAAG